rnacentral:rRNA from 1 species
UGGGGAAUUUUGCACAAUGGGGGAAACCCUGAUGCAGCGACGCCGCGUGAUUUAGAAGGCCUUCGGGUUGUAAAAAUCUUUUGUAUGGGAAGAAAAUGACAGUACCAUACGAAUAAGGACCGGCUAAUUACGUGCCAGCAGCCGCGGUAAUACGUAAGGUCCGAGCGUUGUCCGGAAUCAUUGGGCGUAAAGGGUACGUAGGCGGAUAAGCAAGUUAGAAGUGAAAUCCUAUAGCUCAACUAUAGUAAGCUUUUAAAACUGCUCAUCUGGAGGUAUGGAAGGGAAAGUGGAAUUCCUAGUGUAGCGGUGAAAUGCGCAGAUAUUAGGAGGAAUACCGGUGGCGAAGGCGACUUUCUGGCCAUAUACUGACGCUGAGGUACGAAAGCGUGGGUAGCAAACAGG